rnacentral:rRNA from 1 species
ACACCGGCAGCUCUAGUGGUAGCUGUUUUUAUUGGGCCUAAAGCGUUCGUAGCCGGUUUGAUAAGUCACUGGUGAAAUCCUGUAGCUUAACUGUGGGAAUUGCUGGUGAUACUGUUGAACUUGAGGUCGGGAGAGGUUAGCGGUACUCCCAGGGUAGAGGUGAAAUUCUGUAAUCCUGGGAGGACCACCUGUGGCGAAGGCGGCUAACUGGAACGAACCUGACGGUGAGGGACGAAAGCUAGGGGCGCGAACCGGAUUAGAUACCCGGGUAGUCCUAGCCGUAAACGAUGCGGACUUGGUGUUGGGAUGGCUUUGAGCCGCUCCGGUGCCGAAGGGAAGCUGUUAAGUCCGCCGCCUGGGAAGUACGGUCGCAAGACUGAAACUUAAAGGAAUUGACGGGG